GCAUUUUGUAGUGCAGAACCUUAUAGAUACUUUAUAAGUACUAUGCUAUAUGUGUGUGUGUGUGUGUGUGCGCGUGUGCGUGAGCAUGCAUGUAUAAAAAACAGGUCCUUUAUACUUUACUAAACUUACAUACUUUCUAUAUAAAGUAUGGUACUUUAUAAGUUUCAAAGAAAGCCCUUCCGCUUCUGGUGUCUGGCCUUGGGUUUCCUUUGGCUCCCAUGAAGGGCCCCUGUUGUUGUAAGAUUACUAUUAUUAUUACUAUAACUAUUAGCUGUUUUUUUUUCCAUCCAAAGUGUCUAAAAUAAUGCGAUGGCUGUGCUGCAGCCCUCCAGAGUGAGCAUUUUACAGCACGAAUCAGAAUGGACGCGUUGUUGACCUGUAUGUGGGAGUUUGGGAGAUCUGGGGACGGCUCUGGAAGACCAGCUAAGGUGAUGGGAGCCAAACUUGCCUCCUGGAGUGCGUCCUUCGGCAACCCAGUUGCAAAGCCCCUCUGGAAGUGAGCUCUCCAGCUAACCCUUUUCAGUGGGAGCAUUUCUUCCUCAUAAAGUGACUCAGAAUAACAUUAAGACUUAUAUAAACAAAGUGGACUCUGUUUGUCCCUCUCCAAAACUGCACCUUGUUAAUAGUCCACUGUGAAAUGAGGAAGAUGAAGGAAGCUGGACAGCCCUCGGAGAAACAUCUGCAAUUAGAAGAUACCCUGAUUCCCUCAUACAAAUGAUGUUGUAUGAGAUACUUUGAAAUGUGCAUGACAACCACUAGCUUGGCAAUGAAUAUUUCUCUUAACUGAGCAGAAUGCUUCUCCUAAAAGAUUUAUCUUUGUUACUGCUAGUCACCAAACAAAAGUGACCAAACAAGACAGCUUUAGGCGGAUGAUGAGCAAAAACCAUUAUGCUUUGAGGCUGGGGACUCUACUGGUGACUGUCACACUGCCCAUCCCAUGGGAGACAGGCAUGUAUGACAACCUGAAAAUCCUCAGGUAGCAGCCGAGAUCAGGCUGGAUGGCCCACUGGAAACCGUUCCCUGUGCCAUGCUGGUGUGACAGCCACUGUUCUGCGGUUUUGGAAAGAAAAAAAAAAGAGAGUUUUUGUAUUGAACAUAAGCCUGCCAGUCAGCUUACGUAAUGAUUAGACCAAAUCCAAGAAACAGGAAUAGACGUAUAAAAUAUUCAUUAUUUGUUCCUUGUCAUCUAGUAGUCCUUUCUGUUUAGAUUAGUUUAGCUUUCAGGACAGUCAAACUGACUACCACUAUGUGAUCUACUUAAAAUAUACUGGUCCAAAACUUAAGGUGGUAUAAGUUCAUAUAACUCUGCUGCUUUCAGUAGAGCAGUGGUAAUUUUUAUCAGCUGAGUUUCUAGCCUAUUAUUAAAAUUUGCUUCUAACAUACCCCCCCAAAAAAGUAGAAAUGUUAUAAUCUCUGUAUUCUAA
rnacentral:lncRNA from 1 species